CCUACGGGGGGCAGCAGUGGGGAAUAUUGCACAAUGGGGGAAACCCUGAUGCAGCGACGCCGCGUGAAGGAAGAAGGUUUUCGGAUCGUAAACUUCUAUCAGCAGGGAAGAAGAAAGUGACAGUACCUGACUAAGAAGCCCCGGCUAACUACGUGCCAGCAGCCGCGGUAAUACGUAGGGGGCGAGCGUUAUCCGGAAUCACUGGGCGUAAAGGGUGCGUAGGCGGCUAAGUAAGCCAGGGGUGAAAGGCUACGGCUCAACCGUAGUAAGCCUUUGGAACUACUUAGCUUGAGUGCAGGAGAGGAGAGUGGAAUUCCUAGUGUAGCGGUGAAAUGCGUAGAUAUUAGGAAGAACACCAGUGGCGAAGGCGGCUUUCUGGACUGUAACUGACGCUGAGGCACGAAAGCGUGGGGAGCGAACAGGAUUAGAUACCCCGGUAGUC
rnacentral:rRNA from 1 species